UGGUUUUCACUGUGAAACUGACCCAAACCUUUUCUCCUUGCCUUAAAGUCUAAUAUUCAUUGGAAUGACAGUCUCUGGGCAGAUAAGAUUAGUUCAAAGUGAAAUUUGGGAGUUCAAUGGUAAGGGAGCUUGAAACAGAGGUGUGAUGUCAUAGAAGACUCCAUGGGUGAUGGAGUACAGAAAAACAAAUGGAGAGGUCCUGAACUUGCUGUUGUCAAGGUCAUGAUCAGCAUUCCAGGAUCUAGGAUGACUUUAUCCUUGAACUAACAAAACAACACAAAACAAGCAAGCAAAAAACUGCGAGCACGUGACUACCACCGCCAUCACCACCUCUGCCACUGUGACUGCCACCUGUACCACUACCCAACACAAAACUCCACACACAAAAAUCUUGAAGGGACCACGAUCAUAGAGGGCCCAUACCCCCAUGGCAUCAGCAGUAUCACUGAGCAGCUCUGAACUCUGUGAACAGAUCUCUGCAGAGACCCCUCUGCUUGGACAUUUUGAGAGAUCAAGGAAUCUACCAGCAGUAACUCUUCCGUUCUGUUUAAAAGCUGACAAGAUUUCAUCUCAAGGCAGGAGGCUCACGAUGCUGUCAUGAAGUACACGUGGGGAAGAACUGCAGGGCACGUGAGAAAACAGUCCUGAGAAGUGCAGAAGCUUCCUUGGGGUAUGUGUUUUCCUCCUUUUUCUUCCAGUCCUUUGAUCUCCUGUCACAAGCAUGCCGUGUACCCACCUUUAUUAUAUUGUAAUAUUAAGAGACAAGGUCCAGAUUUGUGUUUGGGAAAUAAAAAAGGUAGAAUAUUUUUUGCUGGCUAAAAAGUUUUCCUGACAUGAGAAUUCUUUCCUCUUGCUUACCAGACUCAUAGAUCAUGGUUUGAGACCAAAUAACAGUUAAAAGCAUUAUUAUCUGGUAGAAUAUGUCCUCUCUGGGUACCAAUUGUACCCGGAGACCUUUCACAUUGCAGAGCCCUGGACAGGGUGGGCGGAAUUUAAGUAUUGAUCCAAUGGCAUCCUAAUCUCAGCACAACUUUUCUCUGUUUCAUCUCUCCCUAUCUCUCUAGGGUGAUUUUAUAAAUGGACUAUGGUUAGGCCACACACAAAAAUAGAACUCUGAUUCAUGAUCCAGGGAAUGAGUCUAAGAAGACAAACCCUAACAUCUAUAGCAAUCAGGUCCUAAAAGUCAGGACAUGAUCAAUAACCAUUUCCAGGUUGGAAGAAAUUGGAGAAAGUGAAAUUUCACCCUCCUACUAAGUAGUGCACUUCCCGCUUCUCCCAGACUGACACUAUGCAAUAGAGACACAUGAGAACCUUGACUUAUUAUAACAUUUUAUCUUUCCUGCAUGCCUUUGAGAGCCCAUGAAAGAUAAGUUAUGGUGGCUUAGUGUCUUUAUUAAGUAAUAUUUGUUUAUUCUCAUUUAAGUGGUUUCUACUUUCUCACAUGCUCUGUGUAUUUUUCUUUAGAUAUGAUUAUAUACAGAAAAGUACUUGCCAUAAAAGGAAAACAACCCAACGCAUGUGUGUGAGUGCAUGGGCGUGUAUGUGUUCUGUUUCUAUGGAUAACCCUAACCACUGAAAAUGUGAUGCUCACAGGCUAUCCAUAUAUUCUAUAUACUAUAGGAAAUUCUAUGUAACUGGUGGAAUUUAUUUUAAGACUUUUAUUGGGCUAAACACCAGAUCUGGUAAAUGAAGAAAGGGGAGUUAGCUUCUUAAGCUAAGGGAUGUUAUUGACAGAUACAGGGGAAUAAAAAAGACUAAGAAUGGAAUGUGGUGGAGAAAGAGGAACUUAAUAGGUUCUUUUCAAAAUAGGUUGAGUUUCAAAGAACGGCAGGGUCACCAACAGCUCAUUUAAUGCCCUCAGAAGUGUUCUUGGGAAGGGAAAAACAUCAGUAGGCUAUAAAAACCUAAUGAAUUAUAGAGAGGUUUGUUUUAUGAAACAAUUCCCUCCAGCUUGCGGAAACGACAGUUUUCUUAAGGAAUGCCAGCAAAUUUUAAUAAAAAACAAUUUUAGUUUAUUUUGCCCAAUAAUUGUGGUCUGGAGCAGCCCACACUACUGGGAAUGAUGUGGGGUUGAAGUAAGCAGUCUUUUCUAUAUGGCUAAUAUUUUGCCACUGAAAGCGAGAUGUAAUUGUUAUGCAAAACUAUCCCAAUUGCUGGUCUACCCUGAACUCAGUAGGUGACCCCUUCACUCUGCAACUCUCUGGCUUGUGCAUCAUCAGUUUCAAUAGUGUACAGAGGGAUUGCUCAAAAACGUUGACUGUCAAAUGCGUCAACAUGAACCAGGGUUAGAAAAACAGGAUUAAUGCAGCCUGCUUAAUGAGUCUUCUCUGCUGAGUGACUCCUUGGCAAGAAGGCAAACGUCCAAGAGCCUUGAGAAUGUAACUGGAGCAGUAAGAACAGGUCCACUGGUGGCGUCUCUCUCCAAGCUGUCUGAUGCCCUGCCUUGCGCGGCAGUCCCUGCACACUGAAUCGUUAACCUUUGGCACUGAAUAGGGUUCAGCCCUUCAGAAGUGUCUUGAUUAUGAAAAAUCUGCCAGCACUAAUGGGGAACCUCUGACCCAGAUGCCAGCCCAGCCUUCCAGCUCCUCAGCUGCUGUGAGUUUGAUUGAAAAACGGGUCUCUGGUGUCAGGAACAAAGUAACUGGGAAUUGGGCCACCUGUAAUAGUUACACUUUUAUGCAGACCAUGAAGAUUUUUCUUUUCUCUUUCUUUGCUGUCAAAGGACUGAUUUCUUAUAUUGUCUGAACACAAAACAUACAAAUCACCAUUGUCAACUGCCUUUUAACCAUCUAUUUCAGUUAGGGACCACUGCAUACCAAUUCCUGCUAGUUACAUGAUUCAUUUGAGUGAGAGAGUCACAAGGACACAUGCACACACACACACACACACACACACACACACACACACACACACACGCAUGCAAAGAUAUGCACACACACAUAUUGAUUUCAAGUCUUACAAGUCAUAUGCCUACUGCUUAGUGUCAGAUACAAAGGCUGACAGAGUGGACUUGAGCAGCAUGGAAGGCUUUGUAGACAAGAGAGAAAAGGGCCUGGAAGGUGAAUAGGAUAAACUCAGAAAAUAAAGUGAGGAUCUUUAAAGCUGAGGAAAAAUGCCUGGCCUGUGGUUUAAGCCAGAAUGCCCACUAGAGACAGAUUGUCUCUGCAUCACUAGGAUUAUGGGUUCCCCAGAGGCAAGUGUAUUUGAGUGUGCAAACUCCAGAUGAUGGCACUGCUUUGGGACAUUUUAAGACUCCUGGAACAUGGGAUCUAGCUGGCAAACAUGGGCUAGUAGGAGUGGCCUUUGUAGAUUACAGCCCAGACCUGCUCUUAGUCCUGUUCUUUGCUUUGUGUUUCAUGAAGAUGUGAGCAAGUUUUGUCAUAAAGUCUUUGCUCCCUAGAAAAAGUCACCAUAGCUGAAAUAGUGAGACAAAACAAGUCUCUCUCUACUUAGGUUAUUUCUAUUAGGUACUUCAUCACAGUGCUGGAAAAAAAAGUACUACUAUAUCUAGUAAUUAGUAUAUGGUGCAAAAUAAGGCUGAUUAAACAUCACCAUACUUGUUGUGAAUUUACAGGGUGGUGAUUCAGAUUGCCCUGAACUGUAGAGAAAAUUUUAAUCUAGCAUCAUGAAUGCUAUGAUCACUUCCAAAGACCUUUAUGUAUGUAUGAUCUGUAUGAUCUGAUAGGAGUGCAACACGCCUUUAACACUGUUAGUACACACGUUUAGUCCCAAGUAAUAACAUCUAAUUGAGUGGUAGGUAAAACAGUGAAUCAGAGAAAGAUUUGACAGAAUGACUUAGAGAUAGGAAAUCAGGAGAAAAGCUAUUUAAGAGCAGUACAGGGAGAGUGAAGGCAGUCCAGUUUGGUCAACUGAGAGUCAGUGCGGUGAGUGCCCUGCAGAUGAGUUCCUUUGUGAGUUCAUGCAAUUAAUGAAGGGCAGCAGAGGCAGCUGAAGCCAGAGAAUGGGAAGGAGCCAGAGGACUGGACCAGAUUGCCAGAGUUGGUUUGAGGUCAGGUGAGAAGCCAAGAGAGGCCAAGUUGAAUCAGUUGGCUUAGAGAGGAGUUUGAGUCAGAACAGUUGAAUUGAACCAGCCAGCCAGAGUUCAGAAAGAGACAGGCGAGCUUAUUCAGCAGUUAGCCCUUGACAUGAUAAUUAUAUCAGGCGAGUAAAAGUUACUUUUACACUGAACUAUUUAAACCCACGCCACCACUAGUUAGAAAAGACUCAACAACGAAAUCUUUAAGAACUCUCCUAACACAUUUUUAUAGCUUGGAAUUUGUCAACUUCUUGUCAUAGGGAAAGAUGAUCACUGUAGUUUUCUCCUGAGUAAAGCCAAGAUUAAAGUUUGAGCAAAGCUAACUCAUCAGGAGGAUUUCUUAGCCCCACUCAGUAUACAGAAGUGACAAAGACACACACACAUCCCCAUUCUUGCCUAGCUUACUUCCUAGUUCAAAUGAUUGAGAGAAACCAGUAUUUAAACAGAAUUCAUAAAUAAUUUAUGCACUAUGUUAACAUGGGAUGUGUUAUACAGGAAAUGCAAUGUA